AAGUCGUAACAAGGUCUCCGUUGGUGAACCAGCGGAGGGAUCAUUACAGAGUUGCAAAACUCCCUAAACCAUUGUGAACGUUACCUAAACCGUUGCUUCGGCGGGCGGCCCGGGUCCUUCCCGGCGCCCCUCGGCCCUCGCGGGCGCCCGCCGGAGGAAAACCAAACUAUUGCAUUGUAUGGCCUCUCUGAGUCUUCUGUACUGAAUAAGUCAAAACUUUCAACAACGGAUCUCUUGGUUCUGGCAUCGAUGAAGAACGCAGCGAAAUGCGAUAAGUAAUGUGAAUUGCAGAAUUCAGUGAAUCAUCGAAUCUUUGAACGCACAUUGCGCCCGCCAGUAUUCUGGCGGGCAUGCCUGUUCGAGCGUCAUUUCAACCAUCAAGCCCCGGGCUUGUGUUGGGGACCUGCGGCUGCCGCAGGCCCUGAAAUGCAGUGGCGGGCUCGCUGUCACUCCGAGCGUAGUAGUUACAUCUCGCUCUGGGCGUGCUGCGGGUUCCGGCCGUUAAAAGCCUUAUUUACCCAAGGUUGACCUCGGAUCAGGUAGGAAGACCCGCUGAACUUAA
rnacentral:rRNA from 1 species